AAAAAGUGCUUCUGUCGUGAGUGGCACACAUAGGGCAGUUUGACUGCUCUAUGUGCAGAAUCGGCAUCAAGAAAUUUCAGAACCAUAAUUUUUUGGUACCUGGGCAGCUAGUGAUUGUUGGUCCUAGUGCCCUU